rnacentral:misc_RNA from 1 species
GAUGAAGAACGCAGCGAACUGCGAUAAGUAAUGUGAAUUGCAGAAUUCAGUGAAUCAUCGAGUCUUUGAACGCACAUUGCGCCCCCUGGCAUUCCGGGGGGCAUGCCUGUCCGAGCGUCAUUGCUGCCCUUCAAGCCCGGCUUGUGUGUUGGGUCGUCGUCCCCCCCGGGGGACGGGCCCGAAAGGCAGCGGCGGCACCGCGUCCGGUCCUCGAGCGUAUGGGGCUUUGUCACCCGCUCGAUUAGGGCCGGCCGGGCGCCAGCCGGCGUCUCCAACCUUCUAUUUUACCAGGUUGACCUCGGAUCAGGUAGGGAUACCCGCUGAACUUAAGCAUAUCAAUAGGGAGGA